AAGGCUUGACCUCAAAUCAGGUAGGACUACCCGCUGAACUUAA
rnacentral:rRNA from 4 species